rnacentral:lncRNA from 1 species
GCCCUGGUGACUGACCGUCGGCCUCUGUCCAGCAGAUCAGGAGGUAGUGACCGAGUGCUCCCCGACCAGAGACCGGCAGUGCCAGUGCAAGCGGGGCCACUUCUUCUGCGACUCCAUGGACUGCGAGGAGAACUGCUUCCGGUGUCAGAGGUGUGAGCACAGCGCCGUCCUUCGACCCUGCAAUGCCACCAGGGACGCGGUUUGUGCCGACAGACCUCACCCACAGCCGGGAGACGGGAGCACGUUGUUCAUCGUUCUGGGGGCCCUGGCCCUGCUCAUCCCCGGCCCCGUCGUGUUCUGCUGUAGAAGACGCAGUAAGUCAGAGUCAGAUGGAUCCUGGAGAAAACCCGAGCGGAAAGAGCGUCGGAAACGGGGUCCGGGCUUCGUGACCAGGCGCUUGGGGUCUGAACGCAGUUCUGGGGCCUCCUCGUCCGGGGGCCCCUCUCGGGUCUGAGCUCAGAGCCGCCGGCCCCGCGCGCCCCGACGUGCGGGGCUUAAGAGCAGAGGCUCAGGUCCGCUGGCGGGAGCCGGGGUGUCCGGGGCGCCCUGGGCCGGGAAGCAGGGACGGACAGGUGCUGCUCCAGCCAAGGGGC